CCCCGGGCUCAACCUGGGAACUGCGUUNUGAACUGGGUGACUAGAGUGUGUCAGAGGGAGGUAGAAUUCCACGUGUAGCAGUGAAAUGCGUAGAGAUGUNGAGGAAUACCGAUGGCGAAGGCAGCCUCCUGGGAUAACACUGACGUUCAUGCCCGAAAGCGUGGGUAGCAAACAGGAUUAGAUACCCUGGUAGUCCACGCCCUAAACGAUGUCGAUUAGCUGUUGGGCAGCAUGACUGCUUAGUAGCGAAGCUAACGCGUGAAAUCGACCGCCUGGGGAGUACGGUCGCAAGAUUAAAACUCAAAGGAAUUGACGGGGACCCGCACAAGCGGUGGAUGAUGUGGAUUAAUUCGAUGCAACGCGAAGAACCUUACCUGGUCUUGACAUGUACGGAACCCUUCAGAGACGGAGGGGUGCCUUCGGGAGCCGUAACACAGGUGCUGCAUGGCUGUCGUCAGCUCGUGUCGUGAGAUGUUGGGUUAAGUCCCGCAACGAGCGCAACCCUUGUCAUUAGUUGCCAUCAUUAAGUUGGGCACUCUAAUGAGACUGCCGGUGACAAGCCGGAGGAAGGUGGGGAUGACGUCAAGUCCUCAUGGCCCUUAUGACCAGGGCUUCACACGUCAUACAAUGGUCGGUACAGAGGGUAGCCAAGCCGCGAGGCGGAGCCAAUCUCACAAAACCGAUCGUAGUCCGGAUUGCACUCUGCAACUCGAGUGCAUGAAGUCGGAAUCGCUAGUAAUCGCAGGUCAGCAUACUGCGGUGAAUACGUUCCCGGGUCUUGUACACACCGCCCGUCACACCAUGGGAGUGGGGGAUACCAGAAGUAG
rnacentral:rRNA from 1 species